GGUUCGGUGGUGUAGUUGGUUAUCACGUUCGUUCCUCCAUUCCUCUUCUCCAAAUCCAUCUACUAACAUCCAAUCAGACCAGUCUAACAUGUCUCAUGGUCCACUGGUGGUCCCCGGUUCGAGCCCGGGCCGAAUCA